UACGUAGGGGGCAAGCGUUGUCCGGAAUCAUUGGGCGUAAAGCGCGUGUAGGCGGUUCGGUAAGUCUGCUGUGAAAGUCCAGGGCUCAACCCUGGGAUGCCGGUGGAUACUGUCGGGCUAGAGUACGGAAGAGGCGAGUGGAAUUCCCGGUGUAGGCGGUGAAAUGCGCAGAUAUCAGGAGGAACACCAAUGGCGAAGGCAGCUCGCUGGGACGGUACUGACGCUGAGACGCGAAAGCGUGGGGAGCAAACAGG
rnacentral:rRNA from 1 species